rnacentral:rRNA from 2 species
GGAUGAACGCUAGCGGGAGGCCUAACACAUGCAAGCCGAGCGGUAUUUCUUCUUCGGAAGAGAGAGAGCGGCGUACGGGUGCGUAACACGUGUGCAACCUACCUUUAUCUGGGGGAUAGCCUUUCGAAAGGAAGAUUAAUACCCCAUAAUAUAUUGAAUGGCAUCAUUUGAUAUUGAAAACUCCGGUGGAUAGAGAUGGGCACGCGCAAGAUUAGAUAGUUGGUGAGGUAACGGCUCACCAAGUCUGUGAUCUUUAGGGGUCCUGAGAGGGAGAUCCCCCACACUGGUACUGAGACACGGACCAGACUCCUACGGGAGGCAGCAGUGAGGAAUAUUGGACAAUGGGUGAGAGCCUGAUCCAGCCAUCCCGCGUGAAGGAUGACGGUCCUAUGGAUUGUAAACUUCUUUUGUACAGGGAUAAACCUACUCUCGUGAGGGUAGCUGAAGGUACUGUACGAAUAAGCACCGGCUAACUCCGUGCCAGCAGCCGCGGUAAUACGGAGGGUGCAAGCGUUAUCCGGAUUUAUUGGGUUUAAAGGGUCCGUAGGCGGACCCGUAAGUCAGUGGUGAAAUCUCAUAGCUUAACUAUGAAACUGCCAUUGAUACUGCGGGUCUUGAGUAAAUUUGAAGUGGCUGGAAUAAGUAGUGUAGCGGUGAAAUGCAUAGAUAUUACUUAGAACACCAAUUGCGAAGGCAGGUCACUAAGAUUUAACUGACGCUGAUGGACGAAAGCGUGGGUAGCGAACAGGAUUAGAUACCCUGGUAGUCCACGCCGUAAACGAUGCUAACUCGUUUUUGGAUUUUCGGAUUCAGAGACCAAGCGAAAGUGAUAAGUAGCCAC